rnacentral:rRNA from 1 species
CAGUAGCCACGGUAAUACGUAGGUGGCAAGCGUUGUCCGGAAUUAUUGGGCGUAAAGGGCUCGCAGGCGGUUUCUUAAGUCCGAUGUGAAAGCCCCCGGCUCAACCGGAGAGGGUCAUUGGAAACUGGGAAACUUGAGUGCAGAAGAGGAGAGUGGAAUUCCACGUGUAGCGGUGAAAUGCGUAGAGAUGUGGAGGAACACCAGUGGCGAAGGCGACUCUCUGGUCUGUAACUGACGCCGAGGAGCGAAAGCGUGGGGAGCGAACAGGAUUAGAUACCCCGGUAGUCCCUGUCUCUUAUAC